AAAAUCUUGCACUGGAUAUGUGAUAUAGUAUAGCCGCUGCACAUUUUAAGAACAAUCGUCAAUCGAUCAGGCUAUAAAAUUGUUUUUUUCCUUUGGCUAUAACAGGCAGCGCGAAAACUGUUUUCUGUCUCUAUAUCAUUUAGUGCAUUUUAUCUGUCGUGAGUAUUUGGCAUCAGAAUCUCCGCAAAAUUGUGAGGUUAUGUGUUUUCAAACUUUUUUAAGUUUUCCUGUUUGGCACAGAAUCAGAAUUUUUACUCUAUACAUUAACAAAGAAUGAAGAAUAUCAUUUUCAAUUGGUGGAAUUCAUCAAACCUGGGCCAAAACCAUUAGUUAGAAAUGUUGAUGUUAUUUCUUCACAUUGGUUUCGUUUUAUAAAAUAACGUGUAAAUAAAAAUUAUUGACGAUCCUAUAACCCCAGAAGACCGAAUUUUAUUGCAUGACCUUGUUUUGAAUUCAUCUCCAGCUCCUGAGGACUGGCCUUUAUUUUCUAUCAACGUUUUAGGUGGUGCUAAAACGUACGUCGAAGCUGAGCUUCGAUUGAACAAGCUAGAAAGGCAAAUGUACGCAUUUACGACUGAUACGGAAAAUCCUUCAGAAAAAAAGCUGCAGAGGUAGUAGAAAAGAUUAAGAGCAAGAAAUUAAAGAUUACAGGAAGCACAAUACAAGCUAUGUAAACAUGCCAUCAUUAUCAGAGACGGAAGCAGACUCUACUAAGAAACGUAACAGAUCUUCCUCUUCUUCGGCUUGGACUUAUUCCUCUAAUUCUUCUAAAGAAUAUGAAGAAAGACUUCGAAAACGUUUGAGAAAGAAUAAAAAACUGAAAGGGAAAAAACGGUUAAAAAAAGUACCGAAUCGACGAUUACUAAUUUACCCAGAAAACCAAAUGAUUCUUACAAACCGAUAACUCAAAAUCAAUUUGAACAGUCUCGUCAAAUCUUCGAAAACGAGGAAAAAAAGCAUUUGAAGACAAUCUCGAUCUAAAAUUUAAUUUGCAACAAUUAAAUGAAGAGAUAUAUAAGCAGGAAUCUAAUUACUGUCGGAAAACUGAUGAAAAGAAACUGGCUGCUGCAACCACGAGACAUUCUAAACCUGUUAACGACAAACGACGUAACUCUUCUCAAGACAUAAGCUCACACGAAGCCAAUAGUUCAUUUCAAAAUAUCGCUCUGCAAAAUAGCAGCAAAGGCGCAGGUGAAAAAGUGCCUGAUUGUGAUAAAAAGGUUCAUGGAAAAAAAUUAGUGCAAUAAAGGGAAAAUCUAAAGCUGUCAGCGGUAAUGUUAUAAACAAUGUACACAAGGCGUGUACUCUCAGAUUAGCCGAGGUGAUUUUAUUACUGAUCAUCAGCUUGAAGUACCGUUUAAUGAGCUAAUUAAGCCUAAAUCUUCCGAUGGUCAACUUUCAGAUAAAGAAUUUUAAAAAAGAUUUCGAGGCUACUUUGCCGUUUAAUUUCGACAGACAACUGAACAUUAAAAGAAGUUCAUCCAAUAUAUUAAAAAAAUUCUUGAGCAAAACACUGGUGAUGCAAUUUAUGGCAUCUAGGAAAAGCAAGAAGGGAGUCGAAAAAAGUUUGUUUAACGAGACGCAAAUGUUUAGAACCAUGUUUGGUGAAGCUUACAUUCUAAAAAUGUGUUGAGAAAAACUUAUAUUGACAGCAUAUCUGAACAAGAGAUAACAGAAAAACUCUUUACUCAUGAAUUGGAUAUUGCGGUCUCGCAGCCAAAGACUGGGAUGGAGGAAGAAAGACUAGAGCGGAUGUUGGUAAUGAAAGGGGAAACGACCAAGAAUACUGUAAAUAUGUUCGAUAAACAUAGUUAUUUAUAAUCUUGAAAUAUAACAUAUCUCUAUCAAGA